CUACGGGUGGCAGCAGUGGGGAAUAUUGGACAAUGGGCGAAAGCCUGAUCCAGCCAUGCCGCGUGUGUGAAGAAGGCCUUCGGGUUGUAAAGCACUUUCAGUGGGGAAGAAAGCCUUGGGGCUAAUACCCUCGAGGAAGGACAUCACCCACAGAAGAAGCACCGGCUAACUCCGUGCCAGCAGCCGCGGUAAUACGGAGGGUGCGAGCGUUAAUCGGAAUUACUGGGCGUAAAGCGCGCGUAGGCGGUCUGAUAAGCCGGUUGUGAAAGCCCCGGGCUCAACCUGGGAACGGCAUCCGGAACUGUCAGGCUAGAGUGCAGGAGAGGAAGGUAGAAUUCCCGGUGUAGCGGUGAAAUGCGUAGAGAUCGGGAGGAAUACCAGUGGCGAAGGCGGUCUUCUGGACUGACACUGACGCUGAGGUGCGAAAGCGUGGGUAGCAAACAGGAUUAGAUACCCCAGUAGUC
rnacentral:rRNA from 1 species